rnacentral:rRNA from 1 species
AUGGCUCAGGAUGAACGCUAGCGGCAGGCUAACACAUGCAAGUCGAGGGGCAGCGGGAUGUAGCAAUACAUUGCCGGCGACCGGCGGAUGGGUGCGUAACGCGUAUGCAACCUACCUUAUACAGGGGAAUAACCUUUCGAAAGGGAGACUAACACCCCAUGGUAUUGAUUUAAGGCAUCUUAGAUUAAUUAAAUAUUUAUAGGUAUAAGAUGGGCAUGCGUAUGAUUAGCUAGUUGGUAAGGUAACGGCUUACCAAGGCGACGAUCAUUAGGGGUUCUGAGAGGAAGGUCCCCCACACUGGUACUGAGACACGGACCAGACUCCUACGGGAGGCAGCAGUGAGGAAUAUUGGUCAAUGGGCGCAAGCCUGAACCAGCCAUGCCGCGUGCAAGGAAGACGGCCUUAUGGGUUGUAAACUGCUUUUACAUAAGACUAACCGUAUAUUUGCGAAUAUACCUGAAUGUAUUAUGAGAAUAAGGAUCGGCUAACUCCGUGCCAGCAGCCGC